rnacentral:rRNA from 1 species
AGCGAAUAGAUACCCGGGUAGUCCACGCCGUAAACGAUGGAUACUAGCUGUUCGGAGCAAUCUGAGUGGCUAAAAGCGAAAAAAGUGAUAAGUAUCCCACCUGGGGAGUACGCACGCAAGUGUGAAACUCAAAGGAAUUGACGGGGGCCGGCACAAGCGGUGGAGCAUGUGGUUUAAUUACGAUGAUACGCGAGGAACCUUACCAGGGCUUAAACUGUAGAUUGACAGGACUGGAAACAGUUUUUCUUCGGACAAUUUACAAGGUGCUGCAUGGUUGUCGUCAGCUCGUGCCGUGAGGUGUCAGGUUAAGUCCUAUAGCGAGCGCAACCCUGUCGUUAGUUGCCAGCGAGUCAUGUCGGGAACGUCUAACGAGACUGCCAGUGUAAACUGUGAGGAAGGUGGGGAUGACGUCAAA